AUCGUGAUAGGACUAAGACAUACUAGUCGAGCGCUCUUCAGCCACGAAAAGAGCGCGGCGCACAGCUCAGUAACACGUGGCUAACCUGCCCUUGGGACAGAGACACCCCCGGGAAACUGGGGCUAAUCCCUGAUAGGCGAAGAACCCUGGAAUGAGUCUUCACCCAAAAGACGCCUAAGUCACGCUCUUGAGCGCCGCCCAAGGAUGGGGCCGCGACCGAUCAGGUUGUUGGUGAGGUAACGGCCCACCAAGCCUUUAACCGGUGCGGGCCGUGGGAGCGGGAGCCCGGAGAUGGGCACUGAGACAAGGGCCCAGGCCCUACGGGGCGCAGCAGUCGCGCAAACUUUGCAAUACACGAAAGUGUGACAGGGCUAUCCCGAGUGCCGUCCGCUGAGGGUGGCUUUUACCCAGUCUAGAAAGCUGGGAGAAUAAGGAGAGGGCAAGUCUGGUGUCAGCCGCCGCGGUAAUACCAGCUCUCCGAGUGGUGUGGAUGUUUAUUGGGCCUAAAGCAUCCGUAGCUUGCCAAGCAAGUCCCUGUUUAACCCAACGAUUCAUCGUUGGAUUGCGGGGGAUACUGCUCGGUAGGGGACGAGGAGGCGCGGAAUGCCGGGUAGGGGUGAAUCUAUAUCCGGAGACCCCAGGGGAGGUGCGUAGAGCCCCAGGGAGUGAGUGGGACACCGUAUCCGUGCCGGGACAGGCAGGUGGGCACCGUCGCGGAUGGCCUGGUACAUGUAGUGGCCGGCGUGCG
rnacentral:rRNA from 1 species